rnacentral:rRNA from 1 species
UACAGAGGGUGCUAGCGUUGUUCGGAAUCAUUGGGCGUAAAGGGCAGGUAGGUGGUUUGGUAAGUCUAUUGUGAAAGCUCCCGGCUUAACUGGGAGAGGUCAAUGGAUACUGCCGAACUUGAGUAUAGGAGAGGUUACUGGAAUUCCCGGUGUAGCGGUGAAAUGCGCAGAGAUCGGGAGGAACACCAAUGGCGAAAGCAGGUAACUGGACUAUUACUGACACUCAGCUGCGAAAGCUAGGGGAGCAAACAGG